ensembl:lncRNA
GUGAGUAAAUGUUUCUGCAUGUUUCCUUUUGGCUUGGAGAUUUGAAGAAAAAUGGUUUUAUUUGCUCAGAUAUUUCAAGUUUUCCUGGUCUUGGUUUGGAGGAGCUCUCUGUCCAGAAUACGUUAGUUCUGGUUUAAGGGUACGCUGCAAAGGAGGGGGAGCAAAAUGGAGUGAAGCUUUAGCUCCAAGGUCAGAGUCAACCUGGGCAGGAGAGCAGAAGUGCUGCCGACCAACCCCUACUCGUCCCCCGGGAACCUCACACCUGAGCAGGGCAGUCUGCUGGUUAGCGCAAUGCGUUAGACUUCAGAUUUUAGAUUAGUCUAGAGAGGCAGGUUAGGUGCUAUAUCCAAGAGCAGGAGGCCAUCUGCAGUUUCUCACCUUUUAACUGUGUGACCAGCCAGUGGAACAGCCACCUGUACCAGCCUGCCGGGCCCCACCUGGUGGGAGAGAAACAGGAGACCGAUUUACCUGGCCAAGUGUGCCAGGCUUGUCGUUCUGUUCAGAUGCCCACAGGGGGCUUGCGUAGCCGGUGAGGUUUCAUGUACAAACCCAUCCGGAAUCCACAAGGUGGGGAACUCCAUUCCUCGGCCAUGUGCUCACCCUCUAAAGGACCCCGUCUGCUUCCCUUACUCAAGGCACUUCCUCGCCCCGAGAGGGCUCACACAGGCCAGCCAAGGCUGCUCACUGUUGUCCUGAAAUGUCCAUCCACCCAUCACUGGGACCUGCCUUUGUCCUCAGAAGGCCCCAGCAUGAUGCGAAUCAUUUCUUAGGAUGGGCAUCCCAGGUGCUCUGUGAAACGGCGGGAGUGCAAGCGGAAAAACAAGAUCGUGUCGGGUGGGUCCUGAGGCCCAGGUACUGGAGGAGACACAUCUCCCUGUGUCCGGCCACUGAAUGUCCCAGGUCUGGACACCCCUGAAGUGCUCUGUGACCUCCAACAGGGAAGGGGGGCUGCAGUGGUGGAAGUGGGGAGAUGUGUCACAGGAUGCCAGUAACAGAGCCUCAUUCACGACCUUGCGUGGUGUCCGACUUGUCAUUUGCUGGUUUUUAGAAGCAGCUUGACAAGAGGAGAAAAGGAGGUCAGGCAUCUCUCAAGUCCAUCCCCUCCCCUCCAGCUACCCAUCGGAGCCCCGUCAUCUCUCACCUGGAUCCCUGCGCAGCCUCACUCCUCUCCCUGCAAACCUGGCCCCACGGGGACCACUGAAACUUGCAUCAGAGAACAUCACGUGAUGCCCUGCUUCAAGCCCUCAGGCUGGACCCUCUCGGAACCUCGAUGCUCUCUCUAUGGCCCACAGGUCCUGUGCCAUCUGGCCCCUCCGCCCCCUCCCCCUCGCUCUGCCCUUGCUAUCUGGAGCAUUCUGCCCCAGGUCUAGGCAAGGCCGACUGCUGCUCAGAGAUGCCCUGCAGGGCCCCCAGCAAGGCUGCUCGCCCACCUCUCCUCAGCCAGGACCUUUCACACCUAUCACAUCCCUCUGGUUCUGUCUGUCUGAUGUCUGCAGUACAACAGGGGCCUCUCUGCCCGGCCCCCUGCCCUCUCCCCAGCUCCCGGAUGGUGCCGGCCCAGGCUCAGCAAACAUCUGAAUAAAUGAAUGUCUGAGUGGAUGACUGGGAAAGCUGGGAGAGAAGGUGCAGUCUCCUGGGACUUAACCUUGGGGGAGUGGGGAGGGGUCGGUGAUGCCACGCUGCCUGAACUCCUGCCCCACGCCUGGGAAGAAGGAAUACCGGUGGUUUUUCUUCUUUCUUCUGUGAACUCUGGGGCAGAAUGAGAGCCAGGGCCGGGGGGAGGGUGGUUCAGCUGAAUGUGGCAACGACAAGGGGUUAGGAAGACAUCAGGGGGGAGUGGAAGGAGGAUGAUAAAAUGCAUGUUGGGGAAGAGGAACCGAUUAAACAGUCAACUAGAUAAUAUUAGAUUUAGAGGGAGGGAGAAAAUGGAGAUGUUGGAAAUAUGAGUAGACUGAGUGGCAAUAAAACAGGAGAGAGACCAAGAAAAUGGGGAAAAAGUAGAAAUGGACUUUCUGAGUUAAAGCAUCCGCCUGGGACUGGAGACUGCGCAGCCAGGACGCCCCUUUGGCUCAGCCGCUCAGGCAUCCCGGAGGAAUCGGGUUUCACCCGUAGGCUCACUGGUUGGAUGCUUUCAAAUUCCAUUUAACCCGGUUUGAUCAUCGAAUUUUGGGGGAUUGCUGCCGGUCACCUCCAGAGCACAAGCCCCUGCCGGCUGGACUCCUUGGGGGUGGGGCAGGGUUCCCCGCCCAGCCCCAGUCUGCUCAAGUGCAGCCAAGACAAGUGUCCUGUCCUCAAGAAGCAAGCCCUCCGUUCACCUUCACGAGCUGGGGCCCCACUUUGCUUUCUGGGUCUGUGGUUGAAGCUUCACGGAGAAGAAGCUGCAGAGGCAGACGGACGAAGCCGCCUGCUCAAGGACACGACCCCCCUGGGAGCCGCUUCUUUGGGAGAAGGCAGGGCCCUCACACUUCAGUUGAGCAACAGGGUCACCUGACAAGCAUUUUAAAAACAUGAGUGCUUGGACCUCAGACCAGCCCCGUAGGGUCACGUCCAGCAACUCUGUUCUUGACGUUCCCCAGAUGAAGUUAAAUGCACACCGGUGGUUGGGCAUUAAACCCCUUCUGAGUGUUUCUAUCUCAAUGCCUUAGUGUGACUUAAUUUUUGAUCUUUUUCUAGUAAAGGGGCUUCCAUGGGUUGGGAAAGUGAACACUUGAUUGAUGGAAGGAAAGGUGGCAGGGGCUCCAGAGGUGACUGAUU